rnacentral:rRNA from 1 species
UACGUAGGGGGCAAGCGUUGUCCGGAUUCAUUGGGCGUAAAGAGCGUGUAGGCGGCCAGGUAGGUCGGUUGUGAAAACUGGAGGCUCAACCUUCAGACGUCGACCGAAACCAUCUGGCUAGAGUCCGGGAGAGGAGAGUGGAAUUCCUGGUGUAGCGGUGAAAUGCGCAGAUAUCAGGAAGAACACCGAUGGCGAAGGCAGUUCUCUGGGCCGUAACUGACGCUGAGGAGCGAAAGCGUGGGGAGCGAACAGG